UUUUUUUUUUUUUUUGGUGUCCUUUUAGGGCCACACCCACGGCAUGUGGAGGCUCCCAGGCUGAUUAGCAAUGCCAGCGGUGAAGACAGAUAUAAUCAGAUACAAACAGAGCCAGGCGCAGCUCUGUUUUGGUUUGUUUGUUGCUUCUUAGGGUCGCUCCCACAGCUUAUGGAAGUUCCCAGGCUAGGAGUCAAAUCGGAACUACAGCUGCCUGCCACAGCCACAGCCACAGCCACAGCCACAGCCACGUGGGAUCCAAGCCGCACCUGCGACCUACACCACAGUUCACCACAACACUGGAUCAGGUUCGAUCCCUGAGCGAGGCCAGGGAUCGAGCCUGAAUCCUCAUGGAUACUGGUCGGAUUCAUAUUUGCUGCGCCACAGCGGGACCUCCCAGCUCUGCUUCUGCCUGUGUUUCCACACUUAACACCGGCAGGGACACCAUGAAGGGGGAUGGUGGCCAUGGCCAUUACGCAGAUGGGGAAACUGAGGUUCCCGUCACAACUACUCGGCUCACAGGCACGGAGCUGGGCUCAGAACCCAGGCGCUUGGCUCCUAGUUCACGCUCCCCACCCUACACUUGGCGACGUCUUGAUACCAGGAAGUCUGUUCCCUAACAGGGCUGCGCAUUGGGCAGCAGCGAGGCAGAGGGAGUCAUGCCUGACCUGGACUCAACCGGGAAGAAACCCCAUCACCCCUGAAGACUAACGAGGCCAGCGGAGAACGCCCCCCAUGGGAGGAGCCCCCGCCCCACCCUGUCCCAGUUGGGUCCCCUUCCUCCAGCUGCCGGGUCCCAGGGCUCUGGGGGUGUGCACGCGUGUCCUUUGCAGGAUGCACACAGUCGCUCUGCACCCCCGUGGUAGGCUUGUCUCAACCCCCUCCCGAGCCGAGCCCUGUCGUACCCCUUUGUAACCUCUCCGGCUCCUCGCACAGCCUGGGGUGUAGCCGGUGCUUGUGAAAUAGCUGGUGAGCUGACGUGAAUUGCUCGCAGGUGCUCGGGCGGGCCCUCGCUGGACCCUGAGACUCUAGCCAAACAAACGACCUCCUUCUGCUUUGUCCUUGCUUCCUUUCACUUCCAGCAGAUAUUCACCGAGAUUCCCUAACGUGGCAGCAGGGGGACGGCAGGACAGUCCCCACCCUCGAGGCCCUCACAGCCCGUUGCGGGAGACCGAUGAGAAAGAGGACAACGGCAAUGUGACAAAUACUAGCCUGGGGUGAGUCCAGGGCGCCCGGCAGCACCCUGGGUGGGUGGGCAACCUCAGGUGUUGGGAGGCAAUCAAGUCGCUUUCUAGAAGGGGCAGCUCAAGUGAGAUCUGGGUGUUUGGGAGGAAUUCGUUUCAGACUAACUCGAGGACGUUGCCGGACAUCCGUGUACCUGCCAGCAGGGAGGACGAGGUUAAGUCCGGAGCUUUCUAGGAAGAGGGACCCACAUUUGCAAAAGCCCAGAGGCACAUGGCUGUACUCCCCUCUAGGGGUGGGUACGGCAGGGAGGUGAAAAGGGUGGGAUGAGAUCCCCGGGCCCCUGUAAGUCACUCGAAAGGAAUGUGGCAUUUAACCCCGGAGGCCAUAGGGAGCCAUGAAAGGAUUCAUGCAAGCGGCGAUGCAACCAGAUUUGAAAGACCGCCCUGUUGCCCUGUGGAGAACAGGCGGGAGGGGCACAGAGGGGGCAGUUAGAAGCAGCUACAAAAAUCCCAGUAAGAUGGGGUUGUUAGCAGUGGUGCAGGGAGGGAGGGAGGGGACAGACUUGAAAGAUCCUGAGUCGCCAGGACCCGACUGCCUUGAACGGGGUGGAGGGUGUGUCGGGGCUGAAGCCCGAGUCGGGCACAUCCCGUCUCUUCCGGGGCCCCCCCCUUCUCUUCGCCACCACCGCCACUCUCAUCCCAGUGCCAAAACCGGAAGUUAUGGAAUUCUUGGGGGAGCUCCGUGAAACACUAAACUUCUGCUCCAUCCCAUGAACUGGGAACAAUUUUACUAGCAGAAAAUGCGCCCACGCCAUAAAAUCAUAACCCACGCGUGCUCACCCACCAUAAAAGUAGGCCGAGAAGCUCAGCAGCAUCGGAUGAUUCUGAUCGUAUGCUCAUUAAUAUUUGUUUGCCACCGUACCUUUCAUUUUAUCGCUUGUGCGCACACAUUAGGAGUCAAGCAGGUGCCAGGAGCUUAAGAAAUACCAAUGGGAGAAAAGUGUCAAAUCGAGAUCAUUCUUAGUAGUAGUGCUUUUUCUUGAAUAUACAUUGGGGAGCGACAGGUAUCAAUUUAGUUCAGCGGUGGAACAUCUCGGCCCAGCUUUCGGAACAAGAGGGGAAGCAUUCCUACAGGUGUCUCCUGGUCCGGGGGGGGAAGCCGUCUGAUUCGGUCGUUCAUGCUAAAGGGUGAAUGGCCAGCGAGUACCUGGCCCUCCUGGAGGUCCAGCAGCUUGGCUUUAGAGAUGGGGAGCGAGCGGCUUUGCCCACUUCUUCAGAUGCCGCUGUCAUCGCUGGCUAAAGGCCAGAGAACAGAGCCUUUAGCUUCUCCUGGGGUCACAACGGCCUUGGGGCAGCCCAGACAUCAACAGUCCUCUCCAGGUUUGCAGGGGUGGCAUCACCUCGUGGCUUGGGGGUGCCUUGCACCACCACCGUCCCCUUCCCAAGCUCGUCCAAGAAGGCAGAAUCAGGCAGUGCCAAAGAAGACAGACAGUGAAAAGGAAGCUGUGUCCCUGUUUCCCCUCUUUCUCCUUCCUUUUUUUAAUCAUGGUAAACUAUCAAUAAACAUCAAAUGCACCAUUUCAACCAUUUUUUGUUCUUUUUACGGCCCUACCCGUGGCACGUGGAACUUCCCAGGCUAGGGGUCAAAUUGGAGCUGCAGCUGCUGGAGUUGUGAGGUGUCGAUAGAGGUGCUGACACCUGGUCGGCAUUGAGGUCACCCACUGGGUCUCGUCUGAGACCACACGCCCCAUCCCAGGGGCAGAUAUGCUCCGUGAAGGGGGGCGGCCCCAGGCCUGGGCCAGGCUGGGGUGGGAGUGGAGCUGGAGAUGCCGGAAGUGGCGAGGGACGCUAGGUGGGCUCUGACCUCCAGACAGAGAAGAAGGCUGGCAUCUCCCCCUGCCCCUUCACAGCGCAGAUCUGCUAAGGCUUCUCACUCACAAGCCCACAGCAACCCAGGAAGGGGUGGGCCAGCUCUUUGUUUCUGCAGUUGACAGAAGAGGAAACUGAGGUUCAGAGUGGCCAAGUGACUUGUCCAAAGUCCCGCAGCAGAGGGGGUGAGAAAGGCGGGACUAGAGCCCAGGAGGGCACGUUUUCUGCCUUCUUUGUAGGCAAACAGCCCCCCUGGGACAGAAGGGGCACAUGAAAGAGCCCCUCUCAGGCAGUGAUUAGCAUCCUUGGGCCAAGGAUGGACAGAGAGGCUGCUGGGCCUCUAACCCUGCACCAUGCAUCCAGCUGGCUUCUCCCUGCCUCAGCCACGAGCCUCUCCCAAUUACAAAGGUGAGGGGACGGCGGUUCCUGACAAGGAAAAGUGGUUGAGAGGUGAGGGAGCAGAUGCGUCUUCUUGCUGAAUUCUGCUCUGGCCAGCGAAAGAUGCUGGCCCUUCCAGGGCUUGUGUGGACUUGGCAGCAGCAAAGGGAUAACUGAGAAUCCCUGAGAGCCAUCCAAAGCCCAAGCUAUGACCUGCAGCCCACGGUGCUACUCCCUUUCAGGUAGGAUGGGUGGCAGCCGGGAUGAAAGAGCCUGAUGCACGGGACCAGAAAUAAAGCAAAUGCAUCCGCUUCCCAGUAUGGAAACUGCUGGGAAGCCAGGGUCAUCGGUGCUCUGUCCCUUCUCCAACAGUCCCCAAAAGACAGGCGGGCAGUCCUAGAGAGGGGGAGGCUCAGUGAGGCAGGUGUCUUGUCCCCAUCGUGCAAGUGAGGAGCUAGUAACUCAGAGACAAAAUGACCUGUCUCGGGGCCACUUGAAGACCUGUGCGCUGAUAAUUUUGGAGGCCAUCUCCCACAUUACAUAAAACAUGUCCUGUUCUAAAUGCUUUCUUCGACUGAAAAAAAUUUUUUUAAUAAUUUUGCUUUUGAAAUUACAUGCAACGAGUAACUCAUAAGAUUAACCAUCAGCUCUGAUUUCUCAGUAAGUAUUGUCUAUAGUCAGGAACCUUGGCAAGGCCAAGCCCGGGAACCCCCAAAGGGUAGGCCCCUUGUUAAAAAACACUAAACCAAACAAUUAAUCGCAUUUGAAUACAUUAACUUAAACAUGCACUCCGAUCAGCACUUUCCAUAUUUUAGAGCCCAUCCUUUUUCUUUUCAUGUCUUAGUGCUUAGGCCCAGGUAUUACCUGGGUAAAUCAGGCCCAGCGGGGGGGCUAGAAUGUGAACACAGGGCUCAUUCCCAAGCCAUGGCUCUUCCUUUGCCGAGGGGCUGCCUCAAGGAAUCAAGACACCUUCUCUGAGUUGUAAGAAGGAAAUGGCCAUGCAGAACUCAGCAGACGACACACUGAGAAGCUGUCUAGGACACUAUCCUUUGAGUGGCUGUUAAGAAUUUGUGGAUGUUAGGUCUUAAACAACAAAAAUGGUGGCAGAUGAUGUCUAGCAGGCAGUUUUAAUACGCCGGCACCUCACACAUCCUCUCACCUAGGUCCCACAGCUGCCCUUUGGGGCAUCGAAGGCACAGCGUCACAUAGGUGGCAAGAGGCCACGCCAGUUCGAACUUGGGGGGUUGAGUUCUAGGGGCCAAGAACUUACCACUCUGCCAUCUACCUCUCAGGCUGGGGCAGAGAGAUUUGAGGGCAAAACUGGAGCAGCCCAAGGGUACUGUUCAAACAUCUGGAACGAGGGGGAGGAGACCCCUUUGGGGUUGGCCAAAGGUGGAGGUGGAAGGAGAGAAGGGUGGGCCUCUGCUCCCCAGAAGACAGAACUUUCUAGGUAGCAGAGUUGUCUGGCUACGGAUGGGCUGCUCUGGGCAGUACCAAGCUCCUUGCCACAGGCAGCUGGCGAGAAAGGAGGCCUGUGUUCUGGGCAGGAUGGAGGGGGUGCUGCGUUGGGCAGAGGGCUGUGCUGCCUUAGAGGGCAACCCUGGAUGUACGCCCGUCCUUUCUCAGACCUUCCUCUGUGCAGCCCUUGGUGGCUUGUGCAUGGUCAUUGCUGCCUCUGGCCAGAUGUGGGACCCAGUGAAGACGCGGUGGGACGGACGUCCACAGUCACAGGGGGCUGCACGCAGACCUGGAAUCUACCGAGUUUCUCUAAACGCCGGUUAGGUGCGCCCUACCCACGGCCGCGCCUUUCUCCUCGCCUCCCUCUGAGGUGGACAGUCCCACUGUCAUUGCCCGCUGAGGCCCAGCAGAGAGCCUGGGGGAUGCGCCAUCCCGGCCUCGCGUCUCCGGACAUCUGAGAGCCGCCUCGGCGAUGCCACUGUGGAAUGGGGAUCCCAAGGGAGGAGGGGGGGGGGCAGCCAGCCGAGCCCAAAGGACGGGGGGGGGGGGGGGGGGGAGACACUGACAGACGGAAAUGAAAGUGACCUCGAAAAAAAGGAACGAGGGAAGAAAAGCAGAAACUAAAACAAGUGACAAAGAAAACGAGAGUGUCCAGAGGAAGUGGCCGGGGGGCGUGGCGCCCCAGAGGAAUCCCCCACUGCCUGGUGUUUCCUCUCUUCUCAGCCACGGGGGAGGGAGGCCAGCUGACCCACUGGGCUGUCACCUCGUCGUCCCCUCGGGCCAGAGGCAGCUGGCGCCUUUGGGAAGGAAGGCCUCCCCCAGUCAGCCUGGAGAAGGGGCACCAACCCAGAGCCCAGAGCACCGGGCUGGAGGCGGGGCCGGCCGUGUCCUGCUGGGUGCCUCGGGGGCAUCAUGGGCCUGUUUCCUCUCUUGGAAAUGGGUAUAGCUGCCUGAGGCCACAGCACUGCGGGAAGGACUUCCCAAGCCGAGGUCUAGUGCGGGGAGACCGGCACGGGGCCGCCUGUGCCUGGGGGAGCAGGAGGGAGGCAGGAGCAGCUGGGCCCAGGGCCUCGGGGUGGACACGGGAGGAGCCGCCGCCCUCUCGUUCUUUAUCUGACUUCAUCUGACUCCUCUUGGUCCUUAAUUACUCUAUGCUCUGUGGGCUCUGGGAAUAAAAGACUGAGAAGGGCCAGUCUUCUUCCCAAUGUGGGUUCUGCAGAGGGACUCCCAGCUCCUCAUCCCGACCCUUCUACUUGGGAGCUGUGUUACCUUGGGCCAGUGACUUGACGUCUCUGAGCACCCUUCAUCAUCUACAAAGUGAGAACGAGAAGCAUGCCUUCCCCUCCGGGGUGGUGAGGAUUCAAUGAGACUGUGCGCCCCCCCUCCCCACCCAGAUUUGUGAAUCUCUCAGCCUCAGCGGGGCAGGGCCCAGGCUGGUGGGGAUCGGGGCACUGGACAAGAAUCCCAGGUAGUACUGCGACUGGUGACAGGUGACGUGGGGCCUGGGCACGCCGGGCUACAGCUGGCUCCGCCAAAGUGUCAGAACAGGAAGGAGUUCCCAUUGUGGCUCAGCAGUAAUGAACUGACUAGUAUCCAUGAAGACGUGGGUUCGAUCCCUGGCCUCACUCAGGGGGUUAAGGAUCCAGCAUUGCCGUGAGCUGUGGUAUAGGUUGCAGAUGCAGCCUGGAUCCCGUGCUGCUGUGGCCGUGGUGUAGGCCAGCAGCUACAGCUCCAAUUCCACCC
rnacentral:lncRNA from 1 species